rnacentral:rRNA from 1 species
GAUGAACGCUAGCGGCAGGCUUAAUACAUGCAAGUCGAGGGACAGCACAGGUAGCAAUACUGGGUGGUAACCGGCAAACGGGUACGGAACACGUACACAACCUUCCUUUAAGUGGGGGAUAGCCCAGAGAAAUUUGGAUUAAUACCCCGUAAUAUAGUUGAAUAGCAUCAUUUGAUUAUUAUAGCUACGGCGCUUAAUGAUGGGUGUGCGGCUGAUUGGAUAGUUGGCGGGGUAACGGCCCACCAAGUCUACGAUCAGUAGCUGAUGUGAGAGCAUGGUCAGCCAGACGGGCACUGAGACACGGGCCCGGCUCCUACGGGAGGCAGCAGUAAGGAAUAUUGGUCAAUGGACGCAAGUCUGAACCAGCCAUGCCGCGUGAAGGAUUAAGGUCCUCUGGAUUGUAAACUUCUUUUAUUUGGGACGAAAAAGGGCCUUUCUAGGUCAACUGACGGUACCAGAUGAAUAAGCACCGGCUAACUCCGUGCCAGCCGCCGCCGUAA